GAGGGUGGAUAAGAGACACCUGCAGCGUGGCAGCCUCGGCAGAGCUCUGGGUGUCUGCACCAUGGCCUGCGCCCCACUCCUCCUCCUCACCCUCCUCCUUCACUGCACAGGGUCCCUGUCCCAGCCUGUGCUGACCCAGCCGCCCUCUGCAUCUGCCUCCCCGGGAGCCUCGGCCAAGCUCACCUGCACCCUGAGCAGUGGGUACAGCAACUAUGGCAUUACGUGGCAUCAGCAGCACCCAGAGAAGUCCCCCCGGUACUUGAUGUAUGUUUACAGUGAUGGAAGCCAGAGCAAGGGGGACGGGGUCCCCGAUCGCUUCUCGGGCUCCAGCUCCGGGGCUGACCGCUACUUAACCAUCUCCAACGUCCAGCCUGAGGACGAGGCUGACUAUCACUGUCAGACCUGGGACAGUGGUGUUAAUCACAGAACUGGUGUGACAGUGAAGUCAGACACUUAG